GCAGACACAUUCCAGCCAAUCAGCAGCAGACCCUCCCUCCCAGACCCUCCCACCUCCUGGACAGCAUCCAUUUUACAUUCAUUGUGAAGCUGCAUUCUUAGUGAGCUGUCCAGGAGGUGGGAGGGUCUGGGAGGGAGGGUCUGCUGCUGAUUGGCUGGAAUGUGCCU